rnacentral:rRNA from 1 species
AUACGUAGGGGGCGAGCGUUGUCCGGAAUGAUUGGGCGUAAAGGGCGCGUAGGCGGCCCGGUAAGUCUGGAGUGAAAGUCCUGUUUUUAAGAUGGGAAUUGCUUUGGAUACUGUCGGGCUUGAGUGCAGGAGAGGGAAGGGGAAUUCCCAGUGUAGCGGUGAAAUGCGUAGAGAUUGGGAGGAACACCAGUGGCGAAGGCGACUUACUGGACUGUAACUGACGCUGAGGCGCGAAAGUGUGGGGAGCAAACAGGAUUAGAUACCCUGGUAGUCCACACUGUAAACGAUGAAUGCUAGGUGUAGGGGGUAUCGACCCCUUCUGUGCCGCAGUCAACACAAUAAGCAUUCCGCCUGGGGAGUACGGCCGCAAGGUUGAAACUCAAAUGAAUUGACGGGG